UUCAAUAACAGGAGAGGAGAGAGAGUGCUUUGUUUUCAAGCCUUAAAUAAAAUGUUCCAUCAAAAGUCUUUUAAAAUGCUCUGCUAACCUUCAACCUUAGUUAUUACCGUGGGACUCAUGAACAGGCAUGAAGAGGCCAGCUUAUAGUCGUUUUAAUGACAGAAACCCAAGACUUUGCACUUUCAUUUUCUACAACAAAAACAGCUUGAAUCUCAGUGGAAAGAGUCUGCGAUUUAAUGAACGAAGUCUGGCCAUUAAGGCUUGAACAGUUACCAGGAAGAGUCCCACAUGACUGUUGGAAACAUGAAAAUGAAAAGAUGUUGAGCAGCUGCCUCUAAAAAAAGGGCGGAAGUAUAGACUGAUCAGCCAGGGGCUUGAUCCUUCUCUCACAACUGUAUAGAGUGGUGGUAACUCAAUGGGCUUUAAUGUAGUUACUCUGACACAACUGGUAUAAAUGAGAAGAAAAUGAGGCCCUGAAAUUCUGUAGACCUGGAAUUUAUUUCCAACUCUGCCACUAAUUUAUGCAAUUUUGACAAAUGCUUAUUGGCAGACAUGAAGACUGAAGUCCUCUAUUUAUCAACUGAACAAGUAUAGCACUGGAAUCAGGAAUGCAGAAACCGCCAUCUUUGAGUUUCAACCCUGACUGUGACCUGACCAGCUCUAGGAUAAUCAGCUGAACAAGAGCUAUCAGUGUGAUGCUGUGGCCAAAAGGACUCAUAAGGGGCAAGGCUGGGGAGGAAAGCAGACCUACCCUGAGGACCCUUGAACAAGGAUGCCAAAGAAGCCUUACUGUGAGGAAGAAGACUGUCUGCUGAUCAUAGUUGGGGCUGAAGGUUUAGUUGUCUUCUCUUUUCUUUUGCUAUCUUAUAUUGGACUUAAAGACUUUUGGGGAGACAGAUGGUAAGAAUUGAUCUACACUGGCAUCUCUGAAACAAUCUAGAGUGCCUAAUAUUAUUGACCCUCGGAGGGCCCUAGUUCAGAGCCCGAUGGAGUGGGAUGGCCCAGGCUCCCAUACCAACUGCCUUUGUUGCAAGAGGGGCAUAAACCUCAUUUUUACUCCACCUCCACCUCUAGUAAGGAGAGCGUAAGGACACUGAAAAUGCUGAGGUGAGGAUAAGCCACAUAUAAGUAUUAGGAACUAGACUGAAGGCCCUGCUGGGAGGCAAGAAACUGAAAACCAGGUAUGCUAACCACUAGGCCACCUAGCCUUCCAACUAUUCUACUAGAGAUGCAUAAAUGGAGGGAAUCUCAAGUAGGAGUAGAGAGGUCAUUUUACCACUGAUGCAGCUGCUGCUGGAAUACUCUGUCCAGUUCUAGUGUCCACAAAUCAAGAAGGAUAUUGAUAAAUUGGAGAGGGUUCAGAGAAGACCUAUAAGAAUGAUUUAAGGAUUAGAAUAUAUGUCUUGUAGUGAUAGAUUCAAGGAGAUUAAUCUAUUUAGCUUAACAAAGAGAAGUUUAAAGGGUGAUUUGAUUACAGUCUGUAAGAAACUAUAUGGGGAACAAAUACUUGACAGUGGGCUCUUAAAUCUAGCAGAGAUGGGUAUAACAUGAGUCUAUGGCUGGAAGUUGGAGCUAGACAAAUUCAGAUGGAAAUAAGGCAUACCUUUUUAACAGUGAGGGCAAUUAACCCUUGGAAUAAUUUGCCAAGGGUCAUGGUGGAUUCUCCAUUACUGGCAAUUUU